rnacentral:rRNA from 1 species
UUUGAUCCUGGCUCAGAUUGAACGCUGGCGGAAUGCUUUACACAUGCAAGUCGAACGGUAGAGGGGGCAACCCUUGAGAGUGGCGAACGGGUGAGUAAUAUAUCGGAACGUGCCCAGUCGUGGGGGAUAACGUAGCGAAAGUUACGCUAAUACCGCAUACGAUCUAAGGAUGAAAGCGGGGGGACUCGCAAGAGCCUCGCGCGAUUGGAGCGGCCGAUAUCAGAUUAGGUAGUUGGUGGGGUAAAGGCUCACCAAGCCAACGAUCUGUAGCUGGUCUGAGAGGACGACCAGCCACACUGGAACUGAGACACGGUCCAGACUCCUACGGGAGGCAGCAGUGGGGAAUUUUGGACAAUGGACGCAAGUCUGAUCCAGCCAUUCCGCGUGCAGGAUGAAGGCCCUCGGGUUGUAAACUGCUUUUGUACGGAACGAAAAGGUUUCUAUUAAUACUAGGAGCUCAUGACGGUACCGUAAGAAUAAGCACCGGCUAACUACGUG